UCCUUAUCCUUGACGUGAAUUCACUGAGUCUGCGAUGGCAAACCCUAAGGUCUUCUUUGACAUGUCCGUCGGCGGUGUGCCUGCCGGUCGGAUCGUGAUGGAGCUUUUCGCCGACACCACUCCCCGCACUGCUGAAAACUUCCGAGCACUCUGCACCGGCGAGAAGGGAACCGGCCGCAGCGGAAAGCCUCUGCACUACAAGGGAUCUAAGUUCCACCGGGUCAUCCCCGGGUUCAUGUGCCAGGGAGGCGAUUUCACCGCCGGAAACGGUACUGGUGGCGAAUCGAUCUAUGGAUCUAAGUUCGCCGACGAGAACUUCAUCCACAAGCACACUGGCCCGGGAAUACUAUCCAUGGCAAACGCUGGUCCCGGAACCAAUGGAUCACAGUUUUUCAUCUGUACAGCCAAGACCUCGUGGCUUGAUGGUAAGCACGUGGUGUUUGGGAAGGUGAUUGAAGGGCUGGAUGUGGUGAAAGCCAUUGAGAAGGUCGGAUCUUCGUCUGGAUCCACCGCCAAGGCUGUUGUGGUCAGUGACUGCGGGCAGCUUAGUUGAAUGACUCCUGUGAUCUAUGAGCCUCGAUCUUUACUUUGUCAUGUUAGGGUUUGGUGCUUUUUAUCUUUUUUUUUUUCAUCUUUUCUUGAAGGGUAUGCAGUGAUUUCGGAUCGCUUGUUCCGUGAAGAGAGGGAAGGAGAGGCUUUAUUUGAAUAAGCUAGGUUUUGUUACCUACCUACCGUCUUGUUAUGCUAUGAUAUGAACCUUCUAUCACUCUAAAAAGUGUUUUUAUCCUCUGUUUGGCUGUCGGUGAAAACGAAGGAAAUCACAUUCCUUUUUAAGACGAGCUCCAUUUUCACUCACUAGCAUGUCUUUCCUCUCAAACUUUUGCCUGGAUCCAAAUCAUAUGCCACCAAUCUCAAACGUUGACAUUAGAAGACAGUAUACAAUUUAGCAAUAUACAUGUAUCACUAGACACAUGACAAUAUGGAGAUCCAUAAAGUAAAAUUAGCGGAAUCUGAUUUAUAUAUGGGAAAGAUGUUCAACUCGUUGGAUGAAGACAAAACAACGAAAAUUUUCGGUACUUCCUAAAAAGGGAUAAUCGCCGAUACAUUGGACUUGGAGGGUUUUUUAUAUUUUUAUAACAAAAACAGGAAAAUGAAAUUAGUGAAUUAGCCUAUUGGUUGAUAAAAUACGUUCUGGAAACGAUAUUAUGUUAUUUUAUCGAGGACGGAAAAAUGAUCGGAAAAACUACCUGGGCGGUUUCAAACUGCAAUUUUUCAUCAUCUAAAAAAAAAUAAAAGAGCAGAUAUUUCAUGGAUAAGAAUGAAAAUGUUUUCCGAGUUUGUUUGGUAGAAUAAAUAAAUUGGUGUUAAUAAAAAAUCGAUAAUGAGAAGUUUUCUUCAUCUAUUUUACAAAAAAUAAAACAUUAAAAUAAUCAGUCUAUAAAGUUGAAAAAAAUUCAUUUUCUUUAUCCUAUUUAUCAAAUGUUUUGGCAAUUCCUGUUGGGAAGAUGAAUAAAAAAAAAAAAAUUGGGACAAUUGUGUUUUGGAUCAAGACCCAAAAAUUAAGUUUUGAUCUAUAUAAGUUCAUCAUUUAAGCCUAAGACUCAAAUGGAGUAUGAAAAUUAAGAAAAAUGAUAUGAAUUUUUUAUAUUUUCGAAAAUAACCUUUUCUUAUAAUAAAAAAAAAUUAAUUUAAAUUUUAUUCAUUUUGUAAAUCUCAAUAAAAUUCAAUAUAAUUUGGUAAUUUGGAAAAACAUGCUCACUUUUCCAAAAAAAUAAAAAUAAAUUAUUAUUUAAAAAUCAAACUUAUUAGAAUGUAUAUAUUUUAAAAAUUGUGUAUAUAAAAAAUAAAUUAAAAUAUGCCUUUUUUUUAAUGAUAUAUUUUUAGAAUAUAUUUUAAAAAAAUCAAUUUUUUAAAAAUAAUAAAUUUUUUGAAUAAUUAUUAAAAAAUAUUUAAGAUCAAACAGUUUAUCAAAUAUUAUGGUAAGAAAAUAGUUUUAAAUGAUAUCUUGAUCUCUUUAUAUUUUAUAUCCUUCUUGUCAAUUAUAUAAUUUAUAUGAAUCAAAAUUUAAUUUUUAGAUCCAACUAGGUUCAAAACACAAUAAUCCUAAAAAAAAUUCGAAUAAAAAAUUUGAAUAAGAGCUUUGAAUUUUUGUUCAUCCCCUAUUAAUAUCUCGAGUUUAUAGUGAUAACUUGGUAUGUUCACUGUGAACUAAAAUAUGUCUAUGAUCAACUAAUUGACGGGCUCAAUGAAUAGUCAAAGCCAUACAUGUUUCAAGGAAUUGGACUAGAACUUAACAUGUUGCCCUUUUGGCUUUUCAGGCAAUACAAACAUGGUUAAUUAAUUGACGUUCCGUAAGAUUGGUGUUUUGUAAGACCAUAGUGAAAACACCAUUUUUGUUUUUCUUCGCCAUUUUUUUCUUCCACAUAAAAAUUUACUUUUCCAAAUAAUAUCCAUAGUCAAUGUUUAUUAAUUUAAAAAGCCAAUCUUAAACUAAAAAAUAAAGUCAAUUAUCUUUUGAAAUUCAUAAAUCAAAACUAAUCUAGAAUCAAUGCUUAAAUUUUGGAGUUUAUUAAGGAGUUUAUAAAUUUUAAAAAUAAUUUAAAAUUUAAAAAAGAUCAAAUAGAAGAUUUAUGACUUUAGUUUAUUUAUCCUAGUAGUUUUUUAUUAUUAGGAUUUGUCCACAUAUUUUAAAGAACUAUAAAGAUAAUUGAAUAAUCUAUUUGAUCUUUAAAUAUAAUUUAAGGUUGACAUUAUUUUAAAAAGAUAUAAAAUAAAAUAAAAUAAAGAAAAGUGUGAAAGGUAUAGAAAUAAUUUUUAUAAUUUAUUCUUUUAUUUUUAGAUUAUUUAAUUAAAAAGGUUAUUGAAAAUCUAAAUUUAAAAAUAGAUAAUUUUUUUUAAAUAAAAAUAAUAUUUUAUUUUAAUAAAAAAUGUUUAUGUUAAUAAUGAAAUAGACUACAUUUAUAAAUUUAAAAAUUAUUUCAUCCUUUUAAUCAAUUAAUUUUUAUUUUUUAAAAAUUUUCGGCCAUCAAAUCAUAUAUUCAUAUCAUAAGAAGGAAUUUUAUUUGCCUCGUUUAGGGGUAACCAAAGUAUCUUGGAAAGUUUUGUCUCGUCAAAUAAUAACCAGAGGGACGUUGAUGGAUGCAAAACCGCCCUUGAAAAUUGACAGAAACAAUGGCGGUCCAAAGUUAUCUAAAUGUGCCGACCACUUUUUGUUUUUAUUUUUUUGUGCCUUUUGCAAUCACCAGAGAAUAGUCUGCCUGCUCUUUCAUUUUCCUCGACAGCUUCGACCCAUUGUUCAAAACUAUCUCAAAUUCCUUUUUUUAGCCGAUUUGUGAUUUUCCCAAGUAUAAGAUCGUGAAAUUUCUUAUAAAUAUAUAGAUAUAUUUAAUAAUUAUAUAAUUUAUUUAUUUUUAUAUGAAAUAUUUUAUAUAGGAAGGGAUGUUGAGUGAAAGAGAACAUCUUUUUUUUAGCAUAAUCACAGCGGGAGAUUUGAAAGCAACGUAAUGUUUUAAACAAUAAUCAAGAUUUGUCUUAUUUUCUUAAUACAUGUUUUAUUAAUUAAUAUAUGCUUUAUGCUAUUUCUAUUAUUUUUCUUCUCGUGGAAGGCCUACAGGAAAUGGAAUGCUUUAUAGCAUGUUGCUUGUCAUGAAAACAACUAUUUUUUUAAAUAUUUUUAAAUGUAUUUUGAAAAUAAAUUUUUUAUAUUUAAUUAUUUUCCAUAUUUAUAUAAUUAUUUAUUAAAAUCAUUCUAAAAAAUAAAAAUAAUUAAAAAAUAUUAUCGAUAAAUCUCAUUUUUUUAAUAGAAAAUGGUUUUAUAUUAUUAAAAAAACGAAAGAUGUUUGAAAAUAAAAAAUAAAAAAUAGUUUUAUAUUAUUCAAAAUAAAAAAUAUGAUAUUUUUAGAUGAUAUAAAAAUUAAUCAUUAAAAAAUGAUUAAAAAUAAAGAAUAAAAAUUAUUUUUAAAAUAUAUUUAAAAUUAUAAAAAGUAAAAGAAGAAUAUUUUAAAUUAUGAUACAAUUUUUUUUUUAAAACGGUUUUUUAAAGUAUUUUCUAAAUAAAGUUUAAUUGUUUUAUUUUCAAUCAUUAUUGUAAAAUUAAUAUUUAAAACAACAUUAGAAAUAAUUAAAAUAUAUUUUAAAAAUUCCUAUUUUUUUUUUUAUGAAAAUAAUUAACAACCAAACUCAGCCGGAUCCUCCGCGAAGGAGCACAAACUGGAAAAAUAGAAGUAAAAGACAAAAUGAGGGCCGUAAGAUUAAGGGAGGGCAACGUGAAUUGCGGCUAGGAUGAAGUCAGGCAUCGCAUUGGGAGUCAACGAAACACAUCUGCUAAGCUGCACCGAAUAUGUGGUGCCACUGUACUACUGAAGACUGUGUGAAUGCCCCCAAAGAUCAAUAGAUGCUCCAUGCUUGGCCGGCUUCAUUGGCGCCCAUUUCGUAGUCGAACGUUGAAAUAUCUUUAAGUAUCGACCACCUCCACCCAAUCCCCAUCUUACACGUUCCUACCUUCACGACCCUACAUCAACUACUUUCUGAUAAACUCGUAGACUUUUUUUUUUUUUUCUUUAAAUAAAUAAAUAAAUAAAUUCUAUUUGGUUUUGCCUAUGACCUUUUCAAUUCAAAAUUACGUAACAAAGCAGUUCUCAUCUACACGAGCCCUGACAAGUCUGCAGUCUGACCUUACGUAAAUGCUCCUUCCUAGAAAUUACUAUAAUGCCCCUUAUCCUUCCUCGCACCCUACCUGCUUUCCCAUCUCAGCUUUUGAACAAUUCCAUUCUUUGAUCUAAAUUUAAGGAUGACUUAAUUUAUCUUGUAGGUGGCUCACCGGUGGAGGAUGAGGACUCAUUAAAGAAAAGUAAACCGGUUGACCAUUCAAAACGUAUUACUCGGGGAACAUUCGACUAAGCAAAAGUUGGGCAAUUUUCCUAAACAAGAACAUGAAUUUUAAAAGCUGCCGUCACCUAAUUUGAUAAAUAAGUUCCAUUCAACCUUUAAGUCAAGUAAUAAGAGCUUUUUUUAAUUUUUUUUAUACAUUCUACUCGACUGAGCAAAAGUUGGGCAAUUUUCCUAAACAAGAAAAUGAAUUUUAAAAGCUGCCGCCACCUAAUUUGAUAAAUAAGUUCCAUUCAACCUUUAAGUCAAGUAAUAAGAGCUUUUUUUAAAUUAUUUUUAUAUGGCUUAUUUUUUAAAUCAACUAUGAUUGGAAAGAGCUUUUUAAUAUAAAAUCAACUAUUAUUAGAAACAUAUUUAAGCACUUAAAAAUUAAAAAUUAAGUCAACUUGACCAUAAAGAUAAAAAUUGAUUUUCUAGAUGUUGCAUCUUAGAUGAUUCAAAUAAAGGAUGAACUUAUAAAAAAUUUAUAAAAUAUGUUGGUAGAAUUUUAAGAAAAUAUAUAAAAAUUUUAAAAAUUAGAACCUCUCAAUUAAAUUAUUGAUUUUAUUGAAAUAUAUUUUAUUAUAUUUAAAUGAAAAUUAAAUUGUUUAAAUAUUAAAAAUAAUAUUUUAUAUAAAAUAUUUCAUUUGAAAAUUUGUUUUAAAGUGAUAAUGUUUUUGUUAAUAGUUUUGCUGUUAGUUUAUUAUUAUUAUUUUAUUUUUAGUUGUUUAUCAAUAACAAUUAAAAAGAUAAUUUAAUAAGUAGGAUACAAAAUAUAAAAAUGAAUUAUUGAUUUUUUUUUAAAAAAUUUAAAAAUAAAAUAAAAUUGAUGAGUAUGAUUUUUUUUUCAAUAAAUAAUAAAUAAUAAAAAUUUAAAAGUAAAUCAUUUAAAGUUUAAAAGUAAAUUAUAUUUAUAUUAAAAACAAACAUAAGCAAAAAUCAUUAAUUUUCGCAACAAUGGGCAGAUCGACUCACCCAGGGUCUCGUUUCCACCUCCGUCGACAUCUGAAAAUUCGCCCGAAAUUUCAAUUGAGAAUUGUGGAAACUUCCGUCCUGGAUUGAAUGUGCAAAGAAAUGUAAGCAUGUAAUUGAUGGGCACUCCGUAUUAGUGUAAUAUAGAAAAUUGACUUUCGGGGAGUAGAGGCCCGCCUUAAAGGAUUAAAUAAUGUUAAUCUUUACUAAUUGAAAAUGAUUUUUCUGGAAACCGGAGAAGGGCAAUAAUGUAAAACGGUCAUUCUAAGUCUGACAAAUUAACGUCACACACCAAACUUCAGACGGCGGGCGGGACACCCGCUCUCUUUCUCUCUCUUACAAAGUCUAAACUCACACACAAGAGACAGAAUACAUCAAAAACGGUCAUCGUCUCUGCUCCCUGUUUGGCUCCUUCCAUUAAACUCAGUCAAAUCCUUCUGCUUGCACACGGGAUUUUCGUGUUUCAAAUAACGCGUUUUUUCCCCCUGCUUUUCUUCUCUAGACUAGAUUUUUCUAUUUGGAUCAACACAUUCUCCAAUCGAUCUCAUUCUUGACUCAUCCUCAUUCUCGUCGUCUCUCACAUUCUAUUUCACUGUAAUUAAUCCGAUUCUUUUCUUCCUCUUUCUAGGGUUUCAUCUGAAUUCGAUUUGGUGUCUGGUAUGCUCUGAGCUCUGUCUUCGUAAUUAGGGGAUCAUCUAAUCACAAAUGGUUUGUAUUAUCUAAGGGUUUGGAUGCUGGGAAAAUGGAGGAAAACAAAAAGAAACUUCCAGUCUCAUGGUCCUUGUUCUUAUGGUUUGCCAACCGAGAACUCGGCUAAGCCAAAUAGUUGUAUUGUGCUGAGUUGAGUGGAGUUACUUUUUUAUCGUCUUCUUGUUGUUUUGGUUUUAUAGAACCGAAAAUAUGAAGAAUAUAUAUAUAUAUAUAUAUAAAUCUUGAAUUCUUGUGCUACAGUUUCUUGGUAACCAAAUGAAUCCUAAGUUGACAAUGUUUUUCUUGAUUUUCCUGUUAGGUGCGAAUUCGGAAAUUUUUUGGAAUAUCAUUGGAAGAAAAAUGGGAGCGGUAUGCUCAGGCGGGAUGAUGAAGCGAAAUUCGGGAAAAAAUUUAGGGUUUUCUGGGAAGCUGAAGAAAGUGAAGAGUUUGCGUAAGCAAAAAGAGGAUUCUUAUUCAUAUUCUAAUCCUAAUGUGGAUGGUUUUGAGAGGACGCCACAGAUGUACGAUCCUGGAGAGCUAUCGUUUUCGAUUUCACGAGAACUAAAACCUUCAACGCCUGCAAGAACAGGGGCAAGCAAGGUAUGAUCUACUCAACAUGUGUUAGUUUUUUGUUGUAAUUCUUAGUGAUUAAUAGAAUUAACUGUCGCAACUGAUCUUCAGAAACGAAGGAAAUAGGAUAGAAGUCGAAUCCAUCCGCAUAAUAUUAAACUGCAUAUAAAGUUUGUGUUGUAACAAUUAUUAGUUUAAUUUCCCUUUUGCAAUUUUAGCACACAAGAAAGAGAAGAGAAGGUCAGGGUUCACAUGUGUGUGUUGAUGUUCGUAAGCAGUGCAUGACUAACAUAUGAAUCGAGGAAUAAAAUGAAGAACCCUGCUGUUAAGGAGAGAAGGAAAAAAUCAUGGUUUAUGUCCCAAUGAAUAAUGGUAGAAAGAUGCUAGGAGAGUCAAAUACAUGUCUGAAGACAGUUUUUGGGCAUUUGGCAACUUGGUAGAUGAACCCCAAAGUAGUACGAUGUGCUUUAUAGCAUGGAUAGAACUGAUACUUAUUACAGUGGAAUGAAUGGACAAAAUGGCAUACAAGCAGUUCUUUUUAAAUCAGGGGUGAUACUGUACCCCCUAUUAUAAUUUGAUCAAUGGAUUAAUUUUCUGAGCGAUGCUUGUUGCAUCAGUGCAUGAUGCAUUUUGAUGAUAAUUCAAGUUUCCCCUCUCAUUGACAUCAUUUUAUCUCCACAACCAUGGUGAUGUCUCUCUUUCCCGCCAAAUCUUGCCAGAGUCGGUGGAGGAUUCUACAUAGCAGGGCUGACGGUCAUUACUUUCUUUCUUUCUUUUAUUUAUUUAUUUUUUAUUUUUAGAUAGGCAAAUAUAGAUAUAUGAAUCAGAACCAAGUAAAAAAAUCAGGGCUGACAAUGAUUCCUUUGGUGGUUGAAACGUUGGACCAUAAGCUGGUGUGUAUUGCUGAUUCUCUUUCCUAGAAUUUGAAAGGAGAGGUGGCUUUUCCUGCACAUACAAGAGAGAAGAAUUCUAUUCAGACAGGGGGCAAAAAUCAUGAUCUAUUUAUCUCACAUGAUUUGCGAUGGAUGAGCUUACAUUAUUAGGGACACUGGAUCACUAUUACUGAAUUCAAAUUCAUCUAAAGCUUGCACAUGCAUAUUGUGAGAUGUAUCUAUAGACUCAGUAAUCUGAGACAACCAUGCAAUAGUAAACCCACUUGUUAAGCAGCAUGAACUGCAUAUCAUUCAUUAAGGAGAAACUAUGACAAAAUUCAGUUGUGAUUUUUUCUUCACAGAAAAAUGUGUUUUGUUGUGGGCAGCUCAAGGUUUUAAUAAAAUGUUUAUACCUAUAAAUAUAUAUCCAGGUUAAAUGCUAUCAUGUUCCUUAGCUUAGUGUGGGGAUUCAGUUCUUUUGGCUAUCCAUUGAGACUAUCUAUUUGUCUAGGAGGUAAAUAAGUAGUUGAAUAAGUGAAGUUUAUAUAUAUAUAUAUAUAUAUAUAUAUAUAUAUAUAUAUAUAUAUAUAUAUAACCCUUCGUAGGCUAUGAUAUUUUGGCUUAACCACUUUCCUCUUUUCCUAUGAAUUCAAUUAUAUCAUUUGUUUCUUUGUUUUUUAGGUGCCCCAGAAGACCUCAUUUCUGGGAAGGGCUGGUGUUGUGGGCCUAGAGAAGGCAGUGGAAGUCUUGGAUACACUGGGAAGUAGCAUGUCAAGUUUGAAUCCCCACAGUGGGUUUGUAUCUGGCAUUGCUUCCAGAGGAAAUAAAAUAUCUAUAUUGGCAUUUGAAGUAGCUAAUACAAUAGCCAAAGGUGCAAACCUACAGCAUUCUCUUUCUGAAGAGAAUAUCCAGUUUCUGAAAAAGGAGAUUUUACAUUCAGAAGGAGUGCAACAAUUAGUUUCCACAGAUAUGACAGAGUUGCUAAGUAUUGCUGCUGCUGACAAAAGGUUGUUGCUUGUUAGAGAGAAUAGUUUGCUUUGCUUUGUCUUUUGUGCCUAGUGCAAUAUGAAUUAAUUGUAGCAUUUUUCAUCUUUUAAUAUCUCACUUGUUUCUUUUAUUAUUAUUUGGUUUAUUUGUAGAGAGGAAUUUGAUGUUUUCUCACGGGAAGUAAUUAGAUUUGGAGAUUUAUGUAAGGAUCCACAAUGGCACAACCUGGAUCGAUAUUUUUCAAAGUGAGUAGAUACUUAUAGUGCAUUCAAGUUAAGUUACUGAUGUGCUGACAAUGCAAACAGAUUUAUUGAAUGAUUAUAAAAUUUCAGGUUAGAUACAGAUGAUCCCAGCCAUAAACAACUUAGAGAAGAGAUAGAAGUGACAGUUCAAGAGUUAACUACUUUGGCUCAGCAUACUUCUGUAAGUUUAGUUUUGUAUUGGUAAUAUUUUUUUGCAUUUCUUGUUAUGUGUGCUACAUAUGGUAUUAUUAAUAUUUUGGGAAAUGAUACUUCAUUUGUUUGGAAGGAAAUCAUAUUAAAUUUUGGUUUAAAAAAGCACAGUUGAUUUCUUUCUGAAAUGAUAUUCGUUCUAUAUCAUGUCUAUUUUAUGUGCCUGAUUCAUUUGAAUGAACUUGUGUGAUUGAAAAAAUACUUUGAUCAUUAGAUUCAAAGUUUGAUUAUGUUAUUGUGGUCACUGAAUAGUUUAAAGAUUUAGAUUCUAUGAUCAUCGAUCAACUUAUGGGAUUAUUCCAAGCCCAUGUGGUAUUUAGUUAUCUCCACCUCUAAUUUUGAGCACUUGACUAUAUCCUAAAUUUUGAUCCCUUUUUUUCUUUGUAAAAUUCUUUGUCCCUCUUUGCCUUCAUUUGGUUUUACCAUCUUACCCUUCUUGUAGAUAAGAUAUGGGCACUUCUGAGCCUGGCUGGAUAUUGAUCUCAGGUCCAGAUGCUUUCUUUCACUUUUUGCUAUAUCACUUCUGCCUCUUUAGUUUGGGUUAUUAGGCUAUUGUUGACAUGAAAGGCAUAUCCACCAUAUGUCUAGCACUGGUUUCAACACUUAUAAGCCUCUAUAUCUCCUGACAAUCUGACUCAGAUUUUGUGAAUCUUAUCUGUGUGAUAUGAGAAUUAAAAAUAAGCUUAUUAUUAUCUUUCUAGAUUUAUAAAUAAUGGUCAAUAAAUAUUUUUUGCAUUAUGGCAAUGUGUUUUGAGUUGAAUAAUAGAGGCCUUGCUAUGCUUCUGUUGCAUAGUCUUUUCCAUGUAAAUACAGUUGUUAUGGUUAUUUAAUGUAAGUCUUCCCUGUUAAUAUGUUUAUGGUAUCGAACAUGCAGGUACAUGAAUGGAUUUUGUAGACACAUUCACAAACUCAAGCAAACAUAGCACUGUUUCAUAUCGGUCUUUGUUUUAGGCAAUUGAUUUGUCCUGCACUCCAUCUCUGUGUGUGCAUGUCUCUAAGGCUUUAUUUGAUUGUGUAUUCACCUUCUUUCUUCCAUAGGGGAAAGCUGACCCGUGUUUAUUUUGCUUUUGAAAUGACUUUAAUUCCACAUGUGCUAACCAAAUGUAUAUAAAAGUGUAAUUUGGUGGGAUAAUCUUUUAGUUUUUUGCUUCCCUGGAUGAUUUUUUAUUUUUUAUUUUUGGGUUUCUUGAUUUAAUAGAAUCAUGGAAUGAUGAUUUGAAUUAGAUGCAUUCCCAAAAUUUUUGCUCUUCUGCAGAGAACCUGUUAUUCUGUUUUUUUAUAAGUAUACUUGACUAAUGCUGCAAGGUUCAUUUUGCCUUCAUCUCUUAUGCCUUAGUAAGGGUUAGUUAUGUUCUACUUUGAGAUGCUAAUUCCUUCUGCAUUUAUAGGAAUUAUAUCAUGAGCUGAAUGCUGUAGACCGAUUUGAACAAGAUUAUCGACGGAAGCUUGAGGAAGUGGAGUCCUUGCAUCUUCCUCGUAGAGGUUAGACAUGGAUGAUCUUUUUCUCCUAUUUUAGUUUUAUUAGAUGUGUAAGUAGGAUUUUCUUUAUUUCCUUUUCUUUGUUCCUUUUGGGAAGGGUAUUGGGUUAAGUUUGUCUCAACUUUUAUUUUUACUUCUUAACUUUUCACCUCUAAAUGCAUAUGCUGUUUAGUAUGUUAUCUAGAUAUUGAGUCUCUUCUCUUAGCUAUUUAAAGGGGAUCUUGUAUAUGACUAGGUUUACGUAUCCCCUGAAAAUAAGAAGGAAGAAAAAUAAUUGCUAUAUAAUUUAUUAUUGCUUGUUGAUUUAAAGGUUGGCUAAUUAUUUGUAGAAGUUGUUAUGGCGUGCAAUCUGAUUUAUGAAUAGAGGGUUAGGACUGAAAGAUUUAGUUUUAGAUUGCAAAAAGGAUACCUGGCUAAGCAUAACAAUUGCUAGAGAAAAUUAAGAUAAUAUGAAUAUGUUGGAAUAAUGAUAUACAUUGUGGGCCCAAAUUCUAACAACUUAAGUUUUUAGGAAAAUUGGUUGUCCAACAUUGGUAUCAAAGCCAUGUUUGCUUCUUCUUUCUUUCUUUUUUUUUUUCUUCAGGUUUAGAGGGCGUUUGUUUUUUUUUGCUUUUUGUUGAAAGCAAUUUGCUUUUAGACUUUGAGUUGUUUGUUUUUUUUACUUUUUCAUGACUUAUUAUAAACUUUUUGCUGAAUAGAAAAAACCAAAACAUUUGACUUUUUUUAAAUGGAAAAAGUAACAUAUUGGUUUUUUUUUACUUUUUAAUGUUUAAUAGAAAUAAAAUAUUUAAAAAAAAAACAACCUAAUACUUAACACUAUUAAAUAUUAAAGUUCUAUUUAGAAUUAAGUAAAAAAAACAAAUACCACCUUAGUCUUUUUGACCUUAGUUGCCAAAAUCUUGCUUAUUCCUUGGUUGGCCUUCACUGUUGAAGCCCUUGAAAAUCUAGUUUUUCCCUUCCUUUAUUUUUCAUCUUGAAAAUCCAGUUUUUUCAUUCUUUAAUUUUUUUUCCCUUAUUUAGCCUUCAACCUUUUUUUUUUCUCUCCCCAACCUUGUUUGAGGCAUCGUUUGAAAAAUGUUUGAAGUCUCUCAAACUGAUCCCUCAGAAAAAAGACCCAUAUCAGUGAAUGGUGCUGAAAAUUCGAUUACAAUGUCUUGGUUGCAGAAUUCUAUGUAGCCAUGGAGUGGUAAAACUCAUCAUUUUUUCUCACCAACAAUAAAGAUAUGGGAUGCUAUUGCUUAGAUACAUUUCAGCAUGGUGUCACAACCUUAUUUAGCAGGAGUUCAUGAGUUUGAACUUCACAUGUUUAUUUCCCCAAUUUAUUGAGCCACAUACAAGCCCAAAGGAGGCUGUCCUUGAUUUGUUUUGCCUAUGGGUUUGAUUGUCUCUCUACAUGUGGGUAUGAGGCUGGGGAGGGUGUUGGAGAACAUGGUAUACAUUGUGGGUCCAAAUCUUAAUAACUUUAAGCUUUUAGGAAAAUUGGUUCUUUAACACAAUACCCCUUGUUAGAUGAGUAUCUUGGUAUAUUCAUUCUUAAAUUGGAGUUUUUCUUUCAAGGGGGAAUUUGUGUUGAAAUAGCUAUUACUUGGUGAGAUUGCUUGGCAAGGAAACUAGCCCAGGAAUGCUUUCUUUGCCAUAAGUUGGACUGUUGUUGGUGUGCGUUGCAUUAGAUGAUUAAAUGAAACAUAAUCCAUUCAAUAGUUUGGAGGUUAUAAUAGACAAUAUUGCUGAAUUUCAUUUGAAGAGAAAUAUUAUUGUAGGGGAUUCACAGAAGGAUAAUUGUCAGAGCAACUGCACUUUUCAUGUUUGAAGUUUUAAGAUGGCAUAAUGGGAAUGUUGGGUGCCAUGUGAAAUGCAACUUUGUACUAUAGCUUCUAAUUUUGGAGGUGUGUAUUUGUCUUGCCUGUAAAUUGAGAUGCCUCUAUAUUGAGAAGCUUGAUAUUUCAUUGCUAGUUGCCACAGUAAUGAUUAUAUGAUAUUCUACUACGAACUAUUUAUCAAUAUAAAACUGACCAUUCCUUGAGUUCUUUCUAAAGUUCUAUUUUUGGGAUGGCAAUGGGGUAGUUUAAUGGGGCAUUCGCUGUACCACAAUUGGUUCAGAUUUGGGAUUGCUACAAUUCAUUUUGGAACAUAUUUAGGUUGGGAUUUCAAAUAUAAACUGAGGUUUAGUCCUCCAUGUAUAUUCCAUGUUGAUCCAUUGUGGACCUUGUUGUCUUUCUGAAUUAACCUCCCCUGUUUUUUGCAUGUUGACCAAAUUCAAAUGAUGUGUAUUUGAUUUUCCUGCAUUCCUGAAUAGUUGCUUCUGAUCAUUGUCCAUUGCAUCAAAGGUAAAAUAAAAAAAAAUCAGAGGUGCAAGAUUACUGGAACAUCACAUUCUGGUUAAUGGGUGCACUUGUAUUCUCCCUUGCUCUCUAUGCAAACACAUGCUUCCUUCUUUCUCUUUCGAGUAUUCUUCUCUCAUAUGCAAACUUUUAGAUGUAUAUUGAAGAGUCAAUGUUUUGGUCCUCAAUGUGGAUUAAUGAGGGUAUUUACGACAAUUGCAGUUCAACUAAUUCAAACUUAUUUUCAUGUCAUGAUGAUGUAUCUUAGAUUAAACAAUUGGAAAUCAAGGACUUUGCCUGUUGAAACAAACAAUUGGAAAUCAAGAAUAAGCACAUUCAAUGCAGUUUAUUGGAACAAUGAGAUGAAUCUAUUGGUUCAUGUUAAACUUAAGUUAUCAGAAGUUCAAGAGUUUCAGAGAUCAUGGAGGAGAGAGAGAGGGCUAGAGAGAGAAAGAUCGCGAGAGAGGGAGAGAGCAGUGGCGAUGAGGGUUCGACGGAAAUCGCAGAAGGCGCGAGCCAUGCGAGGCCUGGGAAUAAUGUCAAGAGGGGUGGUUUCGGCGUGGAAUCGAAAAGAUUCGAGGUCGAGGUGGAGGAGAGGAGAGGUAGAUUGCAUGCCACGAUUGUGGAGAGGAAAGGCGGGAUCUCGUCGUGGGUCAGACUAGGUCCGGUGAGCCUCGGGAUAGUCUUUGAAUGUUUGAAUCUGAGUAUUGAGGACUGAAGAAUGGGUAGGUGGGCAAGAGAGUGGAAGGAAAACGGGAGGAUGUACUCUCUGUCGCGCGAUUACAACAGAGGGGGCUGCUUUCUUCGUUUGGGAGUUGCGGAUUUGGAGGGAAAGAGGUUUAGUGUCUAUAUUCCUAGAGGAAGAGGAGAAAGGGGCGGAUGGGCUUCAAUGGCGGACACACUGAGGAGUUUGGGCUGCGAAGAAAGUUGCCCUAAUAACCAGAAGGCAGUUGUGUCCCGGACGAAGCCGAACAUGGUGAAGUCUUAUGUGGAGGCGACCAAAGUGGCGAAGGAAAAGGAGAGAGCAGCAGCUAGGGAGAUAUUACUACGGAAGAGGUGGGAAGGAAUUUAUCCAAACUUGGCCACUGUGUUGUUGGGACUUGGAAUCACAAUGCAGCGAAGGGUGAUGAUCUCAGAGGGUGGGGAUCCCAGCUAGCGAGAAUAUGGAGGUUAAAAGGGAGUUUAGGGCUGGCUAAAAUGGAGAGGGGAAAGGUGUUAAUGGAGUUUGAGAUCCCGGCAGAGGCGGAGCAAGUCUCAAAGAUGGGAAGCAUUUUGCUUGGGAGGGUAGAUCUCCGUUUAGAGAAGUGGAAUCCGGAGACGGGAUGUUUGAAGGAAGGGGAAAGGAGCAAUGAAGCGUGGGUGCGGGUAGUUGGGCUGCCUGUCUCCAUGUGGGAACGGGAUAUUCUGAGGAAAAUUGGGGAUGCGUGUGGGGGCUUCAUUGCGAUUGAUCAUCAAACGGAAAAAAUGGAGGAUUUACAGUGGGCACGCCUCUUGGUGAAGCGGAACGGUGGGUCUCCUCCCAGCUUAGUGGAGGUUUGGAUUGAUGGGUUUUGUUACGAGGUUACCUUAUGGUGGGAAAUCAGGCCAGUCAUCAAAGUUCCGGCGACUGGAAAGAGAGGGAAGACCGUCGUGACAGAUGCGAAGGAAGGGGGUGACGCGAGUGCACGCGCGGGGGGGCGCGUGUUGGGGGCGAUGGAGGGUUCAAGGCUCGAGGACUGCCUGAUGACUGAGGAUGGGACGCAGAGUCAGGUCAGUGGGUCGGGUCAGAACUCGGAUCCAAAUCGGAACGAAGACGGGUUGGGUUUGUUAGGCCAAGCAUCAUCUUCUAGAGGGCCUAAAGCUUACACUUCCACUGGGCCAAGCUCGCUUGGGCUGGUGUUUUAUGGGAAUGGAAAUGGGAAGCCCAAGGAAAAGGCCGGGCCUUUGGGUUUACUUAAAGGGGAUGGGCUUGCUUUUCGNNNNNNNNNNNNNNNNNNNNNNNNNNNNNNNNNNNNNNNNNNNNNNNNNNNNNNNNNNNNNNNNNNNNNNNNNNNNNNNNNNNNNNNNNNNNNNNNNNNNNNNNNNNNNNNNNNNNNNNNNNNNNNNNNNNNNNNNNNNNNNNNNNNNNNNNNNNNNNNNNNNNNNNNNNNNNNNNNNNNNNNNNNNNNNNNNNNNNNNNNNNNNNNNNNNNNNNNNNNNNNNNNNNNNNNNNNNNNNNNNNNNNNNNNNNNNNNNNNNNNNNNNNNNNNNNNNNNNNNNNNNNNNNNNNNNNNNNNNNNNNNNNNNNNNNNNNNNNNNNNNNNNNNNNNNNNNNNNNNNNNNNNNNNNNNNNNNNNNNNNNNNNNNNNNNNNNNNNNNNNNNNNNNNNNNNNNNNNNNNNNNNNNNNNNNNNNNNNNNNNNNNNNNNNNNNNNNNNNNNNNNNNNNNNNNNNNNNNNNNNNNNNNNNNNNNNNNNNNNNNNNNNNNNNNNNNNNNNNNNNNNNNNNNNNNNNNNNNNNNNNNNNNNNNNNNNNNNNNNNNNNNNNNNNNNNNNNNNNNNNNNNNNNNNNNNNNNNNNNNNNNNNNNNNNNNNNNNNNNNNNNNNNNNNNNNNNNNNNNNNNNNNNNNNNNNNNNNNNNNNNNNNNNNNNNNNNNNNNNNNNNNNNNNNNNNNNNNNNNNNNNNNNNNNNNNNNNNNNNNNNNNNNNNNNNNNNNNNNNNNNNNNNNNNNNNNNNNNNNNNNNNNNNNNNNNNNNNNNNNNNNNNNNNNNNNNNNNNNNNNNNNNNNNNNNNNNNNNNNNNNNNNNNNNNNNNNNNNNNNNNNNNNNNNNNNNNNNNNNNNNNNNNNNNNNNNNNNNNNNNNNNNNNNNNNNNNNNNNNNNNNNNNNNNNNNNNNNNNNNNNNNNNNNNNNNNNNNNNNNNNNNNNNNNNNNNNNNNNNNNNNNNNNNNNNNNGGGGGGGGGGGGUGGCUUCCUGGAGUGGGGGAAGGAAUAACCAAGCUUGGGCUAGACUGGACCGGUUUUUAGUGACCCAAGAUUGGCUGGACUGCUUCAGUGGGGUCCUUCAGUGCAGGCUGCCCAGACCCGUUUCUGACCAUUUCCCCAUCUUACUGAAAGGUGGGGGGGUAAGAAAGGGCCCCUCCCCUUUUAGGUUUGAAAACAUGUGGCUCAAAGUUGAGGGGUUUAAGGACCUUCUUCGGGGGUGGUGGCAGGAGGCGGGGGGGAGGGGGAGGGCUAGCUUCAGAGUGGCUUCAAAAUUGAAGUUUCUGAAGGAUAAAAUUAAAUCUUGGAACAGGGAAGUGUUUGGGAGGGUGGAAGUCAACAAAAAUCUAGCCUUGCAACAAGUAGAAUUUUGGGAUAGGGUGGAGAGUGGCAGGAGCCUAACUGAAAGGGAGUCAGAGCUGAAAACUGAGGCUAAGGAGGCCUUCAAAAAUUGGGUUCUUUUGGAAGAAACGCAUUGGAGACAAUCUUCUAGGGAGUUGUGGCUGAGGGAAGGUGAUAAGAAUACUGGUUUCUUUCAUCGGAUGGCUAAUGCUCAUAGAAGAAAUAACUCCAUGGAUAAGAUUAAAAUCAAUGGGAGGUGGUUGGAGGAGGAGAGGGAGGUGAGAGAGGGGGUUGUGAAUGCCUUUCAGCAGUUGUUGUCAGAGGAUCAAUCAUGGAAAUCUGAUAUUGAAGGGCUGCAGCUCAAAAGCUUAAACCAUGCUGAAGCUGAAGGUUUGGAGCAGCCCUUUACUGAGGCAGAGAUUCAUUUGGCUCUAAUGGGUAUGAAUGGUGAUAAGGCUCCAGGCCCGGAUGGGUUCACAGUGGCCUUUUGGCAGUUCUGUUGGGAGUUCGUGAAGGAGGAAAUUGUGGACGUGUUCAAGGAGUUUUAUGAAGACAAGUCGUUUGCUAAGAGCCUCAACUCUACUUUUCUGGUCCUCAUUCCUAAGAAAGGGGGGGUUGAGGAUUUGGGGGAUUUCAGACCAAUCAGCUUGCUUGGGGGUGUGUAUAAGCUCUUGGCCAAAGUGCUGUCCAAUAGAAUUAAGGAGGUGCUAGACAAGGUGGUUUCGUCGGACCAAAAUGCCUUUGUGAAGGGAAGACAGAUUUUAGAUGCUUCACUCAUAGCCAAUGAGGUAAUUGACUAUUGGCUUAAACGCAAGGAGAAAGGGGUGAUAUGUAAACUGGACAUUGAAAAAGCCUAUAAUAGUAUUAAUUGGAACUUCCUCAUGAAGGUCAUGCGGAAGAUGGGCUUUGGGGACCGGUGGUUGAAAUGGAUUUGGUGGUGUAUUUCAACGGCAAGCUUUUCUAUUCUGGUNNNNNNNNNNNNNNNNNNNNNNNNNNNNNNNNNNNNNNNNNNNNNNNNNNNNNNNNNNNNNNNNNNNNNNNNNNNNNNNNNNNNNNNNNNNNNNNNNNNNAUAGAAGAAAUAACUUCCAUGGAUAAGAUUAAAUCAAUGGAAGUGGUUGAGGAGGAGAGGGAGGUGAGAGAAGGGAUUGUGAAUGCCUUUCAGCAGUUGUUGUCAGAGGAUCAAUCAUGGAAAUCUGAUAUAGAAGGGCUGCAGCUCAAAAGUUUAAACCAUGCUGAAGCUGAAGGUCUGGAGCAGCCCUUUACUGAGGCAGAGAUUCAUUUGGCUCUGAUGGGUAUGAAUGGCGAUAAGGCCCCAGGCCCGGAUGGGUUCACAGUGGCCUUUUGGCAGUUCUGUUGGGAGUUCGUGAAGGAGGAAAUUGUGGACGUGUUCAAAGAGUUCUAUGAAGACAAGUCGUUUGCUAAGAGCCUCAACUCUACUUUUCUGGUCCUCAUUCCUAAGAAAGGGGGGGCUGAGGAUUUGGGGGAUUUCAGACCAAUCAGCUUGCUUGGGGGUGUGUAUAAGCUCUUGGCCAAAGUGCUGUCCAAUAGAAUUAAGGGGGUGCUAGACAAGGUGGUUUCGCCGGACCAAAAUGCCUUUGUGAAGGGAAGACAGAUUUUAGAUGCUUCACUCAUAGCCAAUGAGGUAAUUGACUAUUGGCUUAAACGCAAGGAGAAAGGGGUGAUAUGUAAACUGGACAUUGAAAAAGCCUAUGAUAGUAUCAAUUGGAACUUCCUCAUGAAGGUCAUGCGGAAGAUGGGCUUUGGGGACCGGUGGUUGAAAUGGAUUUGGUGGUGUAUUUCAACGGCAAGCUUUUCUAUUCUGGUCAAUGGGGUGCCGGCUGGUUAUUUCUCCAACUCUAGGGGGUUACGCCAAGGUGAUCCACUCUCCCCCUACCUUUUUGUGCUGGGCAUGGAAGUUCUAAGCGCUAUGUUGAGAAGGGCUGUUGAUGGGGGCUUCACUUCAGGUUGUAGCAUCCAAGGGAGGGGGGGAAUGGAGAUAAAUGUGUCCCAUUUACUUUUUGCUGAUGAUACGAUUAUUUUUUGUGAAGCAAGGCAAGAUCACAUUACUUACCUAAGCUGGAUUUUGGUAUGGUUUGAGGCAGCCUCUGGUCUUAGAAUAAAUCUUGCUAAAAGUGAAGUAAUCCCGGUUGGAGAGGUGGAAGACAUUGAGAUGUUGGCGGUGGAGUUAGGGUGUAAAGUGGGGACCCUCCCUUCGGUUUAUUUGGGGCUGCCUUUGGGAGCCAAGCACAAGGCCACGACUAUGUGGGAUGGGGUUGAAGCAAGAAUGAGAAGAAGGCUUGCACUGUGGAAAAGACAAUAUUUGUCAAAGGGUGGGAGGAUUACCCUCAUCAAAAGCACUUUGGCCAGCAUGCCGAUUUACCAAUUGUCUCUUUUUCGCAUGCCUAAGCUGGUUGUUAAAAGGCUUGAAAAGCUUCAAAGGGACUUUCUUUGGGGAGGGGGAAGUUUGGAAAGAAAGAUUCAUCUCAUCAACUGGGCGGUGGUGUGUACCCAUAAGGAGAGUGGGGGCCUAGGUAUUCGGAAAAUUGAUUUCUUGAAUAAGGCUCUAUUGGGGAAAUGGAUUUGGCGGUUCGCCAUUGAGGAAGACUUCUUCUGGAGAAAGGUGGUUGGGGUGAAGUAUGGUCGGUUGGGUUUUGGUUGGAGAACAAAGGAGGCCCGCGGAACGUUUGGGGUGGGGGUUUGGAGGGAUAUCUUGAAGGAGUCGUCUUGGUGUUGGGAUAAUAUUGAAUUCAAAGUGGGAAAGGGGACUAAGGUGAGUUUCUGGACUGACCAUUGGUGUGGUAAUGAGGAGCUGGCCCAAACUUUUCCCCAGUUGUUUGAAUUGGCAGUCCAAAGGAACGCCUCGGUAAAUGAGAUGUGGGAUUCUAGCCUCGGCCAAGGAGGUUGGAAUAUAAGACUCUCCAGAAACCUUAAUGAUUGGGAGCUGGACGCUUUAGGAGAGCUGCUGCAGUUGUUAAGGGAUUUGAGGACUUCUCUUGAAGAGGAUGCAGUGAUUUGGAAAGGAGAGAGUCAUGGCCUCUUUCGGAUUAAAGAUGCCUACAAGCUUUUGGCAGGGUCUAAUGUCAUUAGCUUCCCGAAAAAGGGCAUUUGGGUGGAUAAGGUUCCAACCAAAGUUGCUUUUUUUGCUUGGGAGGCGUCUUGGGAGAAAGUUUUAACUUUGGACAUGCUUCAAAGAAGGGGAUGGCAGUUUCCUAACAGGUGUUUUUUAUGUGGUUGUGAAGAGGAAAAUGUAAAUCAUAUACUUUUACACUGUACAGUUGUAAGGGCUCUCUGGGAGAUUGUCUUGGCCUUGUUUGGGGCUAAUUGGGUGUUCCCAGAGAAAGUCAAAGAUAUGCUAGUCAGUUGGAGGGGCCCUUUUGUGGGGAGAAAGAGGAAAAGGAUUUGGACUUCCAUUCCGUUGUGUAUUUUUUGGACGGUUUGGAAGGAGAGAAAUAGAUUAGCGUUUAGGGGGGGCUCUCUAGCUAUUCAGAAGCUAAAGAAUUCUUUUGUUUGUAACUUGUGGAGUUGGGCUAGGGUGUAUAUGGGAGAGGAGUCCUCUUCGCUUAUAGGUUUUUUGGAAUGGCUCGCUACUCCUUAAGGGGUGGUGAGUGUUGGUUGUUGGAUUGGCUACUGUGUAUACGUCCUGUAUGCCUUGUGGCUUUUUGCCUCUUUUAAUAUAUUUGUGCGCACUUAUCAAAAAAAAAAAAAGUUAUCAGAAGUUCAUAGAAGAGUUUGAAGUGCAAAUGCUUUCACGUAAUCUGGGUUUUCAUGUUAGAUUUCUGGUUGAGUUUUGGUAGUUAUAGCUCAUGUUUAUAACUAUUUGAUUAACCAGUAGAAUGCUAAUUAAUCUUUAAUACUCUCCACUGUUGUAACUUGUAAGUUAUAGUACAGGUUAUUUGCUAUUGCACCACCAUGUCUCUUUCCUCCUGCAGGGUACCAUAACGGCUGGAGUUGAUACUUACCUAACUUUUAUGGAGAGUGGUUGUAAUUUCUAUAAUGGGAAUGUUAUGCCAUUUUUUGAUAGAAAUGAAGGUUGUACUUAAUUGAUUGAGUCCUCACUGAAAAAAAAAGGAAAAGAAAAUUGUGAUGUUUUUCAUUUCAAGGAAAAUAAUUUUUAUUAUUCUGCACCUCCUGUUUAUUGUAAGCUUUGAAGAGACCUUAUUUUCCCUUUACAAUCACGCUGUUAUUCUAGUACUGUUUAUUUUAAACUUUUAUCAAUGGUUUGGUGAUGUUCACUUCUGAUUGUUAACACUACUUGUCUGCUUUUUGCUUAGCCAGAAGGGUGGAGUAUUCAAAUUAACAGGUCAUUUUUUUUUUGUAAUUGUAGGAGAGAGCCUCACAAUGUUACACAGUGAGCUAAAACAUCAAAGAAAGCUUGUAAGGAGCUUGAAAAAGAAAUCGCUUUGGUCUAGAAACUUGGAGGAGGUAUGUGAUUAUGAAUCAUUUUUUUACAAUUUCGGAAAAGAUAAAUCAUGAUUCUGAAGUCUUUUAUAAGGAAUUCAUUCUCAAGUUGCUUCUAUCUCAUUUUCUUAAAGAUUUGUUUCAAUUUAUGAACCUUACUUGUAAUACUUGGUUAAAAUUUCAUUGUGUCUGUGAAGUGGAUACUAUACUGCCUUUGCUGAUAUGAAUAGCAAUUCUAUGAAUGUAUAGGGCAUUCAAUCUCAGAUAUUACUUAUAAGAUCUAGGUCAUAAAGGACCUCAUUGACUAUAAUUGUUAUUACCUUCUUCAGGACAGAUUAGAAUGUUUUUGUUGGUCAACAAUUAACAUCACUUUUUUCAACAACGUUUUGCUCAUUGUAGAUUGUGGAGAAGCUUGUUGAUGUUGCUACAUUCAUACAUCAAGAGAUCUUGGAGGCAUUUAGAAGUAAUGGUAUGACCUCAGCAUCUUAAAGAAAUUAAUGAUUCAUUACAUGAAUGAUAUGGAUACUAAGUUUAGUACAUGUGUGUGUGUCUUGUAUCAAUUUAUUAUUCAUUUUUUACUUUUCUCUGCUCUAAAAGAGUUAGUAAAGUAUGAUUAUAACUUAAUUUAUCACUCGGUCAAUUACAAGGUUUCUCGUCUAUGUCUUAAUGAAAGUACCAUGAAAAGGGCAUGGUUACAUAUGCUUAAUCACAAUCAUUGUUUAUGUGUUCUGGGCCCAAAUUCUAGCAGUUUAAACUUUUAGGAAAGUUGGUAGCUUAACAUGGUACUAGAGCUAGAGGGCUUGAGUUUGAGUCUCCACUCUCCUACUGCUAUUGUCUCUCUGCUACUGCUCCCAUCUAUUUAUCGACUGCUACUACUGUUGUAUCUAUUUAUCUACCAUUUGAUGGGCCCAAAACCUGGGUAUGGGGCACAUCAAACCUAGGUGUUGGUUUUGUGAAGGAGGAUGUUAACCCAACACACAUUAUGGUUCCUUAAAUAGGAGGUACUCAACCACAUGCUAUCCUCUCCACUUGUGGCUAUGGGGCAUGUGAAGGAGGCUGUUAACUUGAUACAUGUUAUGUUCCCAAAUCCUGACAAUGUGGCAUGACAAACCUAAUUUAAACAGGAGUACUCCACCACAUGUUAUCCUUACCUAGUUUUGCAACACAAAACUUGUUCCAAUCAUGCAUGAUUAUUUACAGAAGUGAUGAUUUCUAAGGCACAGUAUUCCUUUUUUUUAUUAUUUCAGAAGUAUUAGUGAAUAUUUACAAGUUUCACUAGUUAUCCAUGAAUCUCCCAAGAAUUAUAAUAUUUUGCAGAAUUGGGGCUCUAAACAAAACUUGCUAUUACUUUCUGUUGCAUAAUGUGGAGCCUCCUUUAAUACUGAAUUUUGAAGAUUUCUGUAAGGAGAGUUGCUUUGGGAGGCUCACAAUAUUGCACUCAGUACAGUUGAGAAGUUUUCUUCAAAACUGGCCAUGUGACUGGUUUAUUGUACCAUUUACCAACUAAAUACAGAUGUCAGAGGGAAAUAUGGAUCUGUUUUAAUUAUGUGAAUAUUACCUUGGUAAAUGAAUGCACUUGUUCCUAAACAAUCUUUUCUAGUAGUGCUUUGGUCAUGCUAAUGCAACAACCUUGGUAUUUAAAUGUGAAUAUGCUCUUCUGUUUCAAACUUCAUUGUUUAGAGGACACAAGAACAUGGGUAUUUCAAGUUUUGAUGACUUUUUCUGGUUUUUGGUUUUGAAAAGCAUGAUUAGAUGAUUAUUGUCUUACUUUGUUGUUCAUUUAUGGUAGGUUUGACAUUGACUAUCAAGGAACCUAGCAAUUGCCCUCAAAGACUGGGUGCAGCUGGUCUUUCAUUACACUAUGCCAACAUUAUCAAUCAGAUGGAUAACAUAGUAAGUUUAAAUCAGUCUUUGCUUCAGUAUUUAUUUCAUUUUUUGGGUGAUGGUUUUAUGAAAAAAUGGAUGUUGAUUUUUGAAUGGAAAUUCAUGUGUUGUUAGGCAUCUCGGCCUACCUCCCUUCCUCCCAAUAUGAGGGACACAUUAUAUCAUGGGUUGCCGGCCAGUGUUAAGACAGCACUGCGCUCCCAGUUGCAAGCAGUUGAUGCCAAGGAAGAGGUAUAUUAUCUAAAGUAGUUGAUUUUCUCUUCAUGCGUACUUGCAUAGACAUUUUCAAUUACCACUUAAAGUACAUUCUGCUGACAUUAUUUAUUUAUUUAUUUUUCAAAAUCAUGGAACUUGAACUUUCUUUUUGUUAUCCUUGGGGUAAUGCGUAUGCAGUAGGAUGCAACUUAAUCCUGGUGUAGCCCAACAAUAAGCCAACCUGACUACCUUGGGUUCAUCCGAUUAUGUUCUAGAACAAACUUGAUCCUGUCCUGGGUUGCAACAAAUAUAACUUGACUGUUGUUUGGUUUGGUUUGGUUCUGUUGAUCUUGUAGGCAAAAAUAACCUAACCCUAGAACCGAUCAUAGUGUUCUCUUACAAGGGCGUGAUCAUGAGAUAACUCUUUGUAUCCAUUGAAACUUUGGACCUAAAUAUGGUGUGCCAUCACUCACCUGAUCACGAGCAAUGACUUGUGCACUGUAAUAGAAGGGUGGGGAGGAGUUACUUGUAUAGAAGAGAGGAUGGAAAAUCUGUUUUUUUAGCAGGCAAGCUUGUGUAGACGGGAGAACUUUAGCUUCUAUGGAAAAGUCGGAGGCUUUCCCUGUUGGUUGCUUGUGACCAAAUUCACUUUUCUUCUUGUCUACAUAAUUAGGGAAGCCUCUUCCCUUCUCCCCUUCAUCGAUCAAACGAGAACAGCUUGUGAAAGUGAUUGGGCUGGCUCUAAUUGUGGAACUUCCAUUUUUCCUAUAUCUUUUGAACGUUAAAAUAAUUUAAUCUAAUUUGAUAUGCUCAUGGGCAUACGGAAGCCAUAACCACCUAACCAAGCUGAUCUUUGUUGGUUUGGUUCCUAGGCUUGCUCUUAGAUUGCUUUUUUGGAAACUGGCCUAUUUCAAUUCAGUUUCAGGGUUGGAAUAUUGACCAUAAAUUACUCAACCUAAGCCCUAGUUGCCACCCUCAUAUGUGCACUGUGCUGUUUGUUGUUUUAACUUCUAAAUCACUUCAUAUUGUCCUUUUAUGCAGCUUACAAUUCCUCAAAUCAAAGCUGAAAUGGAAAAAACUCUCCAAUGGCUUGUUCCAGUAGUAACAAAUACAACCAAGUAGGUUGACAUGUGUAAUGCUUUACCCUACUGCAGUAGAUUUCUGUUGUGAAGACAACAGAAGCUUUUCAUCUGUAUUUUUUUACACAAAAAAAUAUUUUCCUGCUCUGCAUUUACAUUUCCUUAUUUUUCUAUGGCAAUUGGAAACAGAGCACACCAAGGUUUUGGGUGGGUUGGAGAGUGGGCAAAUACUGGGUUAGUGAAGACUUCUCUCUCUUCUCAUGUUCUGUAUUUUCUAUCAAGUAUCUUCUAUGAAGAUGAAUGUGUCACUACAAAAGGUGUAUACUGUUCUUGUUUGACAGGAAUGAGUUUGGCAAGAAGACAACUACACAAAAUAACCUGAUCCGCCUCCAGACGUUAUAUCAUGCAGAUAAGCAGAAGAUAGACCAAUACAUCCUUGAAUUAGUAAUAUGGCUUCAUCGUCUUAUCAACCUAGUAAGACAUAGAGAUCAUGGUUUCAAGCCUCUGUCUACUCGGUCCCCCCCCACUCAUAAUGGGCUGGUUUUUCACUCCAAGAUGGAGCGGUUCCCAUCGCUUGAUUAUGUUACCAAAGUCCAUGGGGUUCAACUUUCUCAAGAGGAUAGAAAUUUGUUGGGAGAAGUUUGCUGGAGAAGGUUGGUUCCUGGAAAAAGCAAAAGUCAGGAAUUUGCCAUGACAAAGAAGAAACGGCCAGAAGUUUUGGUUAUGACCAGGAGUGCUGGCAGCUCCCCAAAUAGGGAGUUGAAUAUAACUCAAGAUUUGGAAUGCCUGAACACUAAUGUUUUAGAUGAGAUGGAUGGGUUAGACACAACAUUAUCUGGGCCUUAAUCACAUUUCAUCCUUGGUGUUAGGUUCAUUUUGAAAAUUACUUGUUCUCUGUAUCCCUCCCUUCCCAAUUGAGUUCUCAUUCUAUUGUAUAGACGUUUACCAUACUGGUGUUUUGUAUAAAAUAUACAUAAUAAUUUAUAUAGAAAUCAUGCCCUACGUACCUAUCAGAGUGGAAUAGCUGGUGGUGUGGCCCAGAGAUGGGAUGAUUGGACAGUUAGUAUAAGGAUCCGAGGGUGAACCAUUAUACUGCACCAUGUUCAGUAUUGUGUUCUCAACGGCAGCCCGUUUAUGUUUCAGUUUUUGAGUUUAGAAGUCACUUCCUAUUUUCAGGUUCGAUGUUCUUCAUCAAGUUGAUACACCUUUCAUCACACAUAAAAUAACAGUGUAACGAGGAUUGAGUGGUAGCUUUUAACUGAAUCGGCCAAUCAGCCAAACAGCUAAAGGCCUAAAUCUAGCUGGAAUCCCAAUUGCUACUACUAUUCUCAAUUUUUGCUCCCCCUCAAAAGGAAAAAGAAAAAAAGGAGGAAAUACAUGAUUAGGUCAACUGAACUUUUUUCCCAACUGCUUCCAUCUUCUAAUUCGUUCCCUCCAGGAUAAGUCAACUCCUGUGUAAAGUACAAAGCCUUGGCCAAUGUUUGACCAACUCUCGACCUUCAACAGCCGGUAAACAUGC
rnacentral:lncRNA from 1 species